CAGUAGCCACGGUAAAACGAAGGGGGCUAGCGUUGCUCGGAAUCACUGGGCGUAAAGGGUGCGUAGGCGGGUCUUUAAGUCAGGGGUGAAAUCCUGGAGCUCAACUCCAGAACUGCCUUUGAUACUGAAGAUCUUGAGUUCGGGAGAGGUGAGUGGAACUGCGAGUGUAGAGGUGAAAUUCGUAGAUAUUCGCAAGAACACCAGUGGCGAAGGCGGCUCACUGGCCCGAUACUGACGCUGAGGCACGAAAGCGUGGGGAGCAAACAGGAUUAGAUACCCGAGUAGUCCCUGUCUCUUAUAC
rnacentral:rRNA from 1 species